CCGCAAGAAUAAGCAUCGGCUAACUCCGUGCCAGCAGCCGCGGUAAUACGGAGGAUGCGAGCGUUAUCCGGAUUCAUUGGGUUUAAAGGGUGCGCAGGCGGUGGGACAAGUCAGUGGUGAAAGCCCUGGGCUUAACUCAGGGAUUGCCAUUGAAACUGUUUCACUUGAGUGUAGUUGAGGACGGCGGAAUGAGUUGUGUAGCGGUGAAAUGCAUAGAUAUAACUCAGAACACCAAUUGCGAAGGCAGCUGUCCAGACUACAACUGACGCUGAGGCACGAAAGCGUGGGGAGCGAACAGGAUUAGAUACCCUGGUAGUCCACGCUGUAAACGAUGAUCACUCGUUGUUGGCUACAAGGUAGUCAGUGACUAAGGGAAACCAUUAAGUGAUCCACCUGGGGAGUACGUCGGCAACGAUGAAACUCAAAGGAAUUGACGGGGGCCCGCACAAGCGGAGGAACAUGUGGUUUAAUUCGAUGAUACGCGAGGAACCUUACCUGGGCUUAAAUGCAGGCUGCAUUCAUGUGAAAGCGUGAUUUCCUACGGGACUGCCUGCAAGGUGCUGCAUGGUUGUCGUCAGCUCGUGCCGUGAGGUGUCGGGUUAAGUCCCAUAACGAGCGCAACCCUAUCGCUAGUUGCCAGCAUGUAAUGGUGGGGACUCUAGCGAGACUGCCGGUGUAAACCAGAGGAAGGUGGGGAUGACGUCAAAAUCAGCACGGCCCUUACGUCCAGGGCUACACACGUGUUACAAUGGCCGGUACAAAGAGCAGCGACCUGGCGACAGGGUGCUAAUCUUUAAAGCCGGUCUCAGUUCGGAUCGAAGUCUGCAAUUCGACUUCGUGAAGGUGGA
rnacentral:rRNA from 1 species